rnacentral:rRNA from 1 species
UACGGAGGGUGCGAGCGUUGUCCGGAAUCAUUGGGCGUAAAGGGCGCGUAGGUGGCCCGGUCAGUCUUUGGUGAAAGCCCAGGGCUCAACCCUGGAAUUGCCUUUAAUACUGGCGGCCUUGAGUAUGGCAGAGGUGUGUGGAACUCCGAGUGUAGAGGUGAAAUUCGUAGAUAUUCGGAAGAACACCAGUGGCGAAGGCGACACAGUGGGCCAUUACUGACGCUGAGGCGCGAAAGCGUGGGGAGCAAACAGG